GAGUUUGAUCCUGGCUCAGAUUGAACGCUGGCGGCAUGCCUUACACAUGCAAGUCGAACGGCAGCAUGAUCUAGCUUGCUAGAUUGAUGGCGAGUGGCGAACGGGUGAGUAAUACAUCGGAACGUGCCCUGUAGUGGGGGAUAACUAGUCGAAAGAUUAGCUAAUACCGCAUACGACCUGAGGGUGAAAGUGGGGGACCGCAAGGCCUCAUGCUAUAGGAGCGGCCGAUGUCUGAUUAGCUAGUUGGUGGGGUAAAGGCCCACCAAGGCGACGAUCAGUAGCUGGUCUGAGAGGACGAUCAGCCACACUGGGACUGAGACACGGCCCAGACUCCUACGGGAGGCAGCAGUGGGGAAUUUUGGACAAUGGGCGAAAGCCUGAUCCAGCAAUGCCGCGUGUGUGAAGAAGGCCUCGGUUGUAAGUACGACUUUGUUCCGGUAA
rnacentral:rRNA from 1 species